AUCUUCCAGAAAGGGAAUAAGAAAAUGAUGAUGAAGAAGAAGGAGGAGGAGGAGAAGGUGGAAGAUGAGGAGGAAGAGGAGAAAGAAGGAGGAAGAAGAGAAAGAGGAGGAGAAAGAAGAGAAAGAGAUAAUCAAAUUCCACAAUACCCUUUGAUGGCAUGCCCCAGUGAGAUAAGUAACCAAAAAUUUAACAUAUGGUCCUUUGUAAGACCUUUAAAGUCUAAAUUAUAGCAGCAAGACAUAUGAAUUCUAUUUGAUUAGUGUCUUUUGUGAAUUUGAAAAAAUGAAAAUGUUACAUGCAUGGAAAGCAGUGAUUCUAAAAUGUGAUUUACAAUACUGAAUGUAGGAACAAAAAAUAGUAGAAUAAAGUGAAAUGUACAUCACAGCCAAUUUGAACUCAUUCUAGGGAUUUUAAAAAAAUCUUUAUUAUAAAAUGAUCAAUUGGUAUAACUCAUCAGAUUAAUAACAAAAAGAAGAAGAAUUAUAUAAUUUCCUUAAUAAAUAUAAGGAGAUAUUUGAUAAAAUUAUAAAUCAUUUAUUAAUGACAUUUAGCAUGUAGAAAUAGAGGAGAACUGUUUUUGUGGAUAAAAUUUAUCCACAAAAAUUAUAGUUUGCAACAAUGGCUUUAAUGGUGAAUUACUUUAAGACUUUUAUUCAAAAUUCAACAUGGAACCAGAUAUUGUUAUCUAAUAUAAGAAAGCAAGAUAAAUUAAGUAGGAAUUAUACAAUAAAAAAGAAAUAGUUCAACAUUAAAGCAUUUUUAUAUCCAUGUAUCAGUGGUAAUUGGAAAAAAUAAAAUAAAAGGUACUUUUGACAAUGGCAUAAAAACAUGAAGUGCUUAGAAAUAAAUCUAAAAAAAAAAUUAUAGGAUCUAUCCCAACAUCUUCACCAAAUAUGUCUGAGAGAAAUUGAAAGACAAUAGAGUAUAUGGGAAAGCAUCCCAUAUUCCUGAUUUUGAAGACUACUAUUGGCAAAGAUAUGAAUUCUGUCCCAAUUGGUCCAUAGAUUUAGUAUAAUCCUAAUUAAAACUCCCCCUGUAUUUUAUUGUGAAUUGGCAAGGUGGCUCCAUGAUAUAUUUUAAAGGACUAGAAAUAGACAAGUCAAUUUUAAUUAGGAUCAAACUGGGAGUAUUAACCCUACCACAUAUUAAAAUUUGAUACAAAGAUAUAAUAAUUUUCUGACAUUUUUUAUUGCCCCUGGAGUCCAAGAGAUCCUCAAAAUACUAAUUAUUACUCAGAACCAAACCCAUUUCCAAGCCUCCUCAGAUUUCCUCUCCUGAAACAAGCAUACCAACCAAACCACGCUAAACCACAACCAACUGUAUCAAAGCAAAUAGUGUAAAAAUAAAAUAAAACUCCAACAUAACAAGUUCCAUAGUUCUGAGUUUCCUAUUUCUAUUUUAUUUAUGGUUUAUCAAUAUCAUUUGCUUUCCAGUAUCUUGGAAUGUCUCAACUCUCAAAGACCAAUUUUAAAAUUUUCUGGGAAUUAUUUUCUGUAUCUCUAGAAACAAUGUAGGGAGUUUAUCCAGAGUAACCCACUGAAGACUGAUUAGGGGAGACCAAGACUUUUGAAUCAUCUUUGUAGAGCCUUCUAGAGAUUAAACAUCUAUGUCAAACAGCCUUAGCAAUUUACCAGUAAAGUUGUGAGGCAGUUGUUUCCCCAGCAAAAUUUUUGCAAUAUUUUUAAAAUACUAGACUCAUAACCCCAAU
rnacentral:lncRNA from 1 species